GACGAACGCUGGCGGCGUGCUUAACACAUGCAAGUCGAACGGUGAAGCGAGUGCUUGCACUCGUGGAUCAGUGGCGAACGGGUGAGUAACACGUGAGUAACCUGCCCAUCACUCUGGGAUAAGCACUGGAAACGGUGUCUAAUACUGGACACGACCAACCCUUGCAUGGGGUGUUGGUGGAAAGAUUUAUCGGUGAUGGAUGGACUCGCGGCCUAUCAGCUUGUUGGCGGGGUAAUGGCCCACCAAGGCGACGACGGGUAGCCGGCCUGAGAGGGUGACCGGCCACACUGGGACUGAGACACGGCCCAGACUCCUACGGGAGGCAGCAGUGGGGAAUAUUGCACAAUGGGCGAAAGCCUGAUGCAGCGACGCCGCGUGAGGGAUGACGGCCUUCGGGCUGUAAACCUCUUUCAGCAGGGAAGAAGCGAAAGUGACGGUACCUGCAGAAGAAGCACCGGCUAACUACGUG
rnacentral:rRNA from 1 species